CUGGUUGAUCCUGCCAGUAGUCAUAUGCUUGUCUCAAAGAUUAAGCCAUGCAUGUCUAAGUGUAAACUUCUACACAGUGAAACUGCGAAUGGCUCAUUAAAUCAGUUAUAGUUUACUUGAUUGUCCCGCUUACUACUUGGAUAACUGUAGUAAUUCUAGAGCUAAUACAUGCAAAAAAUGCCCAACUCUUCGGAAGGGCAGCACUUAUUAGAUAUUCCCAGUAGUCGACUUAGGUCGUCAGCUAGGGUGAUUCGGAGUAAGGACGCAAAUCGCAUAGCCUAGUGCUAGCGAUAAAUCAAUCAAGUUUCUGCCCUAUCAACUUUGGAUGGUAGUGUAUUGGACUACCAUGGUGAUAACGGGUACGGGGAAUUAGGGUUCGAUUCCGGAGAGGGAGCCUGAGAGAUGGCUACCACUUCCAAGGAAGGCAGCAGGCGCGUAAAUUACCCAAUCCCAAUACGGGGAGGUAGUGACAAUACAUAACAAUGUAGGUCUCCUAAGGAGAUUUACAAUUGGAAUGAGUACAACACAAAUCAGUUAACAAGGAUCAACUGGAGGACAAGUCUGGUGCCA
rnacentral:rRNA from 1 species